rnacentral:rRNA from 1 species
UACGUAGGGGGCGAGCGUUGUCCGGAUUUAUUGGGCGUAAAGAGCUCGUAGGCGGCUUGGCAAGUCGGGUGUGAAACCUCCAGGCUCAACCUGGAGACGCCACUCGAUACUGCCAUGGCUAGAGUCCGGUAGGGGACCACGGAAUUCCUGGUGUAGCGGUGAAAUGCGCAGAUAUCAGGAGGAACACCGGUGGCGAAGGCGGCCUGCUGGGCAGUAGCUGACGCUGAGGCGCGACAGCGUGGGGAGCAAACAGG